rnacentral:rRNA from 1 species
AUUGAACGCUGGCGGCAGGCCUAACACAUGCAAGUCGAGCGGAGGAAGGGAGCUGGCUCCUGGAUUCAGCGGCGGACGGGUGAGGAAUGCCUAGGAAUCUGCCUGGUAGUGGGGGAUAACGUCCGGAAACGGGCGCUAAUACCGCAUACGGCCUGAGGGAGAAAGUGGGGGAUCUUCGGACUUCACGCUAUCAGAUGAUCCUAGGUCGGAUUAGCUAGUUGGUGGGGUAAAGGCCUACCAAGGCGACGAUCCGUAACUGGUCUGAGAGGAUGAUCAGUCACACUGGAACUGAGACACGGUCCAGACUCCUACGGGAGGCAGCAGUGGGGAAUAUUGGACAAUGGGCGAAAGCCUGAUCCAGCCAUGCCGCGUGUGUGAAGAAGGUCUUCGGAUUGUAAAGCACUUUAAGUUGGGAGGAAGGGCAGUAAGUUAAUACCUUGCUGUUUUGACGUUACCAAAAGAAUAAGCACCGGCUAACUUCGUG